rnacentral:rRNA from 1 species
UUGGAGGGCAAGUCUGGUGCCAGCAGCCGCGGUAAUUCCAGCUCCAAUAGCGUAUAUUAAAGUUGUUGCAGUUAAAAAGCUCGUAGUUGAAUUUCGAGACCGGUUUAUUGGUCGUGCUUUUGUACGUACUGGUAUUAUUGGUUUCUCCUUUCUGACGAAUCUUAAUGCCAUUAAUUUGGUGUUUUGGGGAAUCAGGACUGUUACUUUGAAAAAAUUAGAGUGUUUAAAGCAGGCUCACGCUUGAAUACAUUAGCAUGGAAUAACGGAAUAGGACGUUUGAUUCUAUUUUGUUGGUUUCUAGGAUCGACGUAAUGAUUAAUAGGGAUAGUUGGGGGCAUUAGUAUUCAAUUGUCAGAGGUGAAAUUCUUGGAUUUAUUGAAGACUAACUACUGCGAAAGCAUUUGCCAAGGAUGUUUUCAUUAAUCAAGAACGAAAGUUAGGGGAUCGAAGACGAUCAGAUACCGUCGUAGUCUUAACCAUAAACUAUGCCGACUAGGGAUCGGAUGAUGUUAAUUUUUUAAUGACUCAUUCGGCGCCUUACGGGAAACCAAAGUGUUUGGGUUC